AACACCCCUGAUACAAACCAUUUAAGAGAGGUUUGACUUCUAACCUGGGAUCUGCCUGCCACUACUACAGCUACAGAAUCAGAAGAUCCUGCCUUGGAGCUUCCGUUAGCUUUGAACUUAGCUAGCUAAUUGACUGAGAACUUCAGCUGAUCACUCUCAUCCAAUUAGCUCUUCUGAGCUUAGGUUAGACAGAAAGCUUCUGUCUCUCAAGCAGCUGGUAUAGAAGACUAACCC